rnacentral:lncRNA from 1 species
UGUGUGUGUGUGGCAUUUUUGGUCAUGGAGCGUUUUGUGCCCUUAUUUGAGUCAUACGUGAGUGACAAACUCACCCACGCUUCCACCAUAGUAACUGAGGAUCUUCUGUUUCCUCCAGCCUCCAAGACAUUGCUCCCAUUUGUUCACCCCUUUUCACUCUUUUGUCUGUGCGCGUACAAGUCAACAGUGAAUGUGUCGCCGCAGAACCAGAAUGUUCGUAAGGAAAAAGGACAAAAGACACAGUAUUUGUUGACAAGCUGCCCACGCCAAGCCAUAAGAAGCUCAAUGGUCUCCAUAAUGACAACAGGUCUUCUUGAACUACAUGCCUCACCUUCAUAUGUUUGCAAGUUUACCAGCUAGAGGGCUGUGAGCCCUAUCAGGAAAGCAGCAGUCUACAGUUUUGUAUCGUACAGAGUGAGAAUGCUAAAUGUUGAUAUACAAGCUUACUUGUUUCUAA